rnacentral:ncRNA from 1 species
GAUGCUACGAUGAUCAAGAGGAGUACAUGAGAAACGAAGGUUAAGAGAGAAGAUGCUCGGCUGAAACAUUUUCACUUUGGCUCAUGGAAGGUAGCUUGGGAGUUUUGCGAUCUGAAGCAAGUAAGAGCGCACGGCACAUGACCGUUAUACAUGUUUGAGCGGCAGAUGAAUAUUCUGCAAUUUAGGUGGUACCGCGUAAUUUACGUCCUAGAA